rnacentral:rRNA from 1 species
AUUGAACGCUGGCGGCAUGCUUUACACAUGCAAGUCGAACGGCAGCGCGGGCUUCGGCCUGGCGGCGAGUGGCGAACGGGUGAGUAAUGCAUCGGAACGUGCCCAGUAGUGGGGGAUAGCCCGGCGAAAGCCGGAUUAAUACCGCAUACGACCUGCGGGUGAAAGCGGGGGACCGAAAGGCCUCGCGCUAUUGGAGCGGCCGAUGCCGGAUUAGCUAGUUGGUGGGGUAAAGGCUUACCAAGGCGACGAUCCGUAGCUGGUCUGAGAGGACGACCAGCCACACUGGGACUGAGACACGGCCCAGACUCCUACGGGAGGCAGCAGUGGGGAAUUUUGGACAAUGGGGGCAACCCUGAUCCAGCCAUGCCGCGUGCGGGAAGAAGGCCUUCGGGUUGUAAACCGCUUUUGUUCGGGAAGAAAUCCUCUGGGCUAAUACCCCGGGGGGAUGACGGUACCGGAAGAAUAAGCACCGGCUAACUACGUG